AUGUGUUCGUGCAUGCGUGAGUUUGCCCCGGGAACGAGGGAAGGCGGAGGAACAGAACAGCAUCAGAAUGUUGGCUGGCCCGUAAAGCGUUUUCUCCCUGGGCUCUGGCUCAACCUCUGCAUAAAAGCCCAGGGAGAAGGAGGUGGAGAUUCCCCGAGUACAGAGGGAGGGCUUCCUGCGCCUCUGACAGGGGUGCGCUUCUGUAUUAGGGACUGGGAGCCUGAUCGGGAAGGCUGGGAAAUCAUGCUCUUCAUCUGGGCUCUGCAUUUGGCGUUAGUGCUCCAGGGAGGCUUCUCUGUCAUCUCUUGUAGAGAGAUAUGGACUGGACCAAGAACUUCACUGGAUAAGAAACUCCUAGGUGAGGAAACUCCCUUUCCCAAUGGAGGUUGGCCUGUAAUUUAUGGACUCAGAAUUGCCUAGAGCACUAAGAAAGUGAAUGUCUUGCUAAGGGACUCAGUCAAUAUGUGUCAGAGGGGAGAUUCAGAACCAAGACUUUUUAGACUAUUCCACACUACAUCUCUACAUCUGUUGCAACAAAGAAGAAAAAGGAAAGAAAAAAAGAGUUCAUCAAAAUUGACCAACAUAUCCAAAAGGGAUUAAUAAUGUCCCAUAUCUAUAGUUCCCAACCUCUGCAUAGAAAGAAGGAAGGAGAGAGGGGGUAUUUUUUGACUCUCUUCUUCAACCUCAAACUUGGUUCUUCUAAUUAUACAAUAUAAAUUUAAAUAACCUAAUUACAAUGUCUUAAAAAUGACAGAGGUUCCCCCCACCUUGACCCUCUCAUUUACAUGGUAUAUGUUAUAUUUCUGGUUCUAUUGAUUUCAUUCUUUAUCAGUUCAUAUAAAUUAUCUCAUGCUUCCUUGAAUUCUUCCUAUUUCUAAUGGAGCAAUAUUAUUUCAUAAUCUUCACAUAUUUAGCCAUUUCUCACUGGUAGGUGAUUACCUUGCUUUCAUUUUCUUGGCUACCACAAAAAAAAGUACUUUUCAUAUUUAUAAAGAGCUUGCCUUUCCAUAGCUCUGUGAGGUAAGUUGUGUAAAUGUAACUAUCCCCAUUUUAGAGAUGAUCAAAUAGAGUCACAGAGAGAUUAAGUGACUAAUCUAGGGUACUUAGUAAACAUUAGAGCUGAGGUCUGAGCUCAGAACUCCUAGUUCUAAAUCUGGCACCCUUUCCAGGCUACCCAACUUCCAAAUGAUGAUUUCAUUUGUGGAGUAGCCAGUGGUUACAGACCUGGAGAUUUCAGAGGCGGUCAUCCUCACCCCUCAUGGGCUCUCACAAUUUUGAUUCUGUUGGGAAGCAAUUGAGCUAGAAUACAGAUACACGCAUAUAUUGUACAUGUACACAUAUAUAGUGCAUGCACACACUUACAAUAUGCAUAUAUAUGAAUGCAAGUAUGCUAAAUGUAAACACAAAAUAUAUAACAUUCAAAAUAUAUCAAUAUAAAUAUGUAAAAUAUAUAAUAUAUUCAAAUACAAAAGAGAUACUUUGAAAAAAGUAUAUUGUAGAUUUUAAAAAGCAAUAUAAAUG
rnacentral:lncRNA from 1 species